rnacentral:rRNA from 1 species
UACGAAGGGGGCUAGCGUUGUUCGGAAUCACUGGGCGUAAAGGGCGCGUAGGCGGCUUUAUAAGUCGGGGGUGAAAGCCUGUGGCUCAACCACAGAAUUGCCUUCGAUACUGUAGAGCUUGAGACCGGAAGAGGUAAGUGGAACUGCGAGUGUAGAGGUGAAAUUCGUAGAUAUUCGCAAGAACACCAGUGGCGAAGGCGACUUCCUGGCCUGUUCUUGACGCUGAGGCGCGAAAGCUAGGGGAGCAAACGGG